GUGCUUGUUUCGCAGCACAAAUACUUAAAUUGGAAUGAUACAGAGAAGAGAAGCAUGACCCCUGCACAAUGAUGACACACAAAUUCAUGAAGUGUUUCACACUUUU